rnacentral:tRNA from 1 species
GUCCGAGUGGUGAAAUAGGUAGACACGAGGGACUUAAAAUCCCUUCUUCAGCAAUGGAGGUGCGGGUUCGAUUCCCGCCUCGGGCA